rnacentral:rRNA from 1 species
AUUGAACGCUGGCGGCAGGCCUAACACAUGCAAGUCGAGCGGAUGAAGGGAGCUUGCUCCUGGAUUCAGCGGCGGACGGGUGAGUAAUGCCUAGGAAUCUGCCUGGUAGUGGGGGAUAACGUCCGGAAACGGGCGCUAAUACCGCAUACGUCCUGAGGGAGAAAGUGGGGGAUCUUCGGACCUCACGCUAUCAGAUGAGCCUAGGUCGGAUUAGCUAGUUGGUGGGGUAAAGGCCUACCAAGGCGACGAUCCGUAACUGGUCUGAGAGGAUGAUCAGUCACACUGGAGCUGAGACACGGUCCAGACUCCUACGGGAGGCAGCAGUGGGGAAUAUUGGACAAUGGGCGAAAGCCUGAUCCAGCCAUGCCGCGUGCGUGAAGAAGGUCUUCGGAUUGUAAAGCACUUUAAGUUGGGAGGAAGGGCAGUAAGUUAAUGCCUUGCUGUUUUGACGUUACCAACAGAAUAAGCACCGGCUAACUUCGUG